AUAGAUGAAUAGAAUGAGCAAAAGUUGCAGCACAGCGUGUCACCAGAGAGGAAAAGAAUAUCCUUGCUGUGCCAAGAAAGAAAAGACCAUGGAUCUACUAGUUGCAGAUUUCAGCAGUAAUGCCAAGGGGGCAAGAAGUGACCAGCAGAACAAUUAGGCCAUGGCAACAGAAGCCAACUACAACCCAUGUUCCAAUCUAUGACCUCCCUCUCCUGCUGGUACAAGGAUAUGAAUGUGGCUGUAGCAUCAUUUUUGGAAGCCAGAAUGGUAAUACUGAAAAUCACUGCUUGUCUCAAGAUCCAACUUCUGGAAAUCUCAACCAUUCUGAAUACAGCCAUCAUUCUUAAAAUUGAAGAGAACUGUUUUACAAGAUCUUGACUUGUAAAGAAACCAAGUUUAUUAAGGGCAAGAGCUGAUAAUCAACUGACUAAUGAGGAUUGACUUCUACAAUUGAUGAGCAUGGAAUUGGAUGUGCCUAAAUCAACAGAAGAGGGAUUUUGAUGUCAUCACACUGUAGCCCCAGAAGACAGAACGCUCAAAGGUGUCAAUGGGCAGAAUUUGUAGAUGACAUACAGCAUCCAAUGGAUUACUCCUAUUCAGGAUAAUGGAAGAAAAAGGUUCUUACCCUUCAGCAGAUAGCAUGCUGAGCCCUGAACAAAUUUUAUGACUUCUGGUGCAAAGCAGACCCAGUCAGCUUGCCUCUAGCAACUGGUUAAUACUACUCCAAGGAAACCACACUUAAAAUUCUUGGAAGUUCUUUUACCAUCACAUCAAGUUGCAUUUUGAAGCUGAAGCCCUUCGAAUCCAUUUAUACCUUGUGAUAUUCCCUUGCCAGAUUGUUGUUUUGUUUGCUAGACAUGAUUUUAGGAUUUUGUCAAGGAAGCCAUCUAUGACCCCAAUCAAUCAAAACCAUAAGGAUCAAGGCUGGAAGAACCUAUUCCUUAGAGCAAAGGAUGCAAUGUCAAGCAAGUUGUGAUACCUCAACUAUCUACAAUUUAACACCAAGGAAAGAACACUGUUUGGAGAAAUGAGAAAGAUUAUCAUCAGUGUCUUUCAGAAGUCAUCAAAAGAAGAAAAGGAGAAAAGAGAGGAGAAAGCAGAAAGAUCUGGAGUCUGGGAAGUUCAAGAGCAUGGCACCAACAUCUGGCAAGGGCUUUCAUUCUGCAUCAUCUCAUGGAGGAAAAUAAAAAGAUUUCAGGUAAAUCCAGAUUUGGAGCUUAAAUGACUCAAAUGCUUUGCCUACAUUGAUCCUACAUUCAGGCUGCUUACAUAUCUCUUGGCUUCUCUGAGAACCAGAUUGUCACCACUUAAAGUGUCUUCCAGAGUCCUCACGAGUAUCAGAGAAGGCAUAAUCUGUACACGUGGCUUCAUUUAAAAUGAAAAUAUCAAGCAGUGUCAUUUUCACAAGUAUCCCCACACUGUCUGAGGCUGAAAAGAAGAGUGUAGCUAUGCACACUGCAGUGAGAAGAAAAUUUCAGCUCAAUUGGAGGAUGUAAAGAUUGAAAUACCACUGCUCCUAGUUCUGAUGCAAAAUUGAAAAGAGUGCACUGGGUCUUCAAAUGGCAUAUUGACAAGGAGAAAGAGGAAAGGAUGCCCCAGGACAGCCUGGGGGUCAAGGCUGGGCUCAGGCAUGCCUGGACAAGCCAUGCAAGUUGUCUCCGGACUUGAACCACGUAUCAGAGGAGCUAUUUGAGGAGCCACAUCAGCAUACCUGCUUCUGUGGGCCCCCAGGCUGUGGUGCUCAGCCCUUGCACUAUGAAACAUUUUUUUUUUCCAGAAGCCAAAGCUUUGAGCAUCUCCUCCCAUGUAGAGAGUGUAUAUGUUUACGUCCAUGUCUUUCGCCAUGUGAACGCAUGCAACCACCACCUCAAAUAUCAUAAAUCCUCUCUCUCCCCCUUUCUGUCUGCCUGUUUAUCUACAAUCUGUCUAUUUAAAUUCUUUUUAAACAAGAAGGGAAUAUCUUUAUGCCUGUUUGUAGGGAUAUUCUACAUCCAUCUGUUAUUUACAUCAUUCGUUUUCCUGAGGUGUCUCCAACAAAUCCUGGCUGGAUGCACUGUAUGUGUUAUUAAUAAAACAGCUGUAAAAAUAUUAAC
rnacentral:lncRNA from 10 species